CGGAGGGUGCAAGCGUUAUCCGGAUUCACUGGGUUUAAAGGGUGCGUAGGCGGGCUGAUAAGUCAGUGGUGAAAGCUCCGAGCUUAACUUGGAAACUGCCAUUGAUACUGCCAGUCUUGAAUGUCGUAGAGGUAAGCGGAAUGUUGCAUGUAGCGGUGAAAUGCUUAGAUAUGUUACAGAACACCAAUUGCGAAGGCAGCUUACUAUGCGAUGAUUGACGCUGAGGCACGAAAGCGUGGGGAGCAAACAGGAUUAGAUACCCUGGUAGUCCACGCCCUAAACGAUGAUUACUCGAUGUUGGCGAUACACUGUCAGCGUCUUAGCGAAAGCGUUAAGUAAUCCACCUGGGGAGUACGCUCGCAAGAGUG
rnacentral:rRNA from 1 species